GCCUGGCUGGCUCAGUUGGCAGAGCAUGUGACUCUUGAUUUCGGGGUUGUGAGUUUGAGCCUCACAUUGGGCA
rnacentral:tRNA from 1 species